rnacentral:rRNA from 1 species
CUAGCAAAAAGGCGGGCGAAAACCCCGCCCAUCGAAAACCUAAGGUUUCCUGGGCAACGCAAAUCGACCCAGGGUUAGUCGAUCCUAAGGCGUAUCCUGUGUAGUGCAGGAGCUAGCCGAUGGAUGAGCUGGUUAAUAUUCCAGCACUACUGUUGUUUUCCGAAGGGGGGACGCAAGUCUAAAGUUUAAGCGUGCUAUGGUAUGUACGUUCUUUGUCUCAAGAAACGGUCUAGGCAAAUCCGGACCAAUAGUUUCAAGGGAUUGAGAAGAGAUAAAACCGCAAGGUGGAAUCAAUUUAAGUAGCAGAUUUGACUAGAAAAACCUCUAGGGCUAAGGCAACAGUAAUCGUACCGUAAACCGACACAGGUAGGUGAGGCGAGAAGCCUCAGAUGUACGAGGGAAACUUCGUUAAGGAACUCGGCAAAACAGCGGCCGUAAUUUAGAGAUAAGGCCUGCCCCAGCAAUGGGGCCGCAGCUAAAGAGCCCAAGGGACUGUUUAUCAAAAACAUAGCUCUCUGCUAACUCGUAAGAGGAUGUAUAGAGGGUGAUGCCUGGCCAGUGUCCGAACGUUAAGAGGAGAGGUUAGUCGCAAGACGAAGCCUUGAAUCCAAGCGCGGAUGAACGCCGGCGAUAACUAUAAUCGUCCUAAGGUAGCGAAAUUCCUUGUCGGGUAAGUUCCGACCUGCACGAAUGGCUUAACCACUUGGGCACUGUCUCAACGAAGUACUCGGUGAAAUUGCAAGACGAGUAAAGAUGCUCGUUAACCACAGUUGGACGAAAAGACCCCGUGAAGCUUUACUACAACUUGAUAUUGAAUUAGGGAUAUACAUGUUCAGAAUAGGUGGGAGCCUUCGGGCGCCAGUGAGAUACCACCCUUGUCUAUUUUUAAUUCUCACCCGGAAAUUCCGGGGACAGUGUCUGGUGGGUAGUUUGUCUGGGGCGGAUGCCUCCCAAAAAGUAACGGAGGCGUUUACAAAGGUCAGCUAUCCCGGAAUGGAAACCCGGGAGAUAGUGUAAAGGCAUAAGCUGGCUUUACUGCGAGACUUACCAGUCAAGCAGUCGCGAAAGCGGAACUUAGUGAUCCGACCAUUCAAUAUAGGAUGGUGGAAGCUCAUCGGAUAAAAGCUACUCCGGGGAUAACAGGCUAGUCACGCCCAAGCGUCCACAGCGACGGCGUGGUUCGGCACCUCGAUGUCGGCUCGUCGCAUCCUGGGGGUGAAGAAGCUCCCAAGGGUUGGGCUGUUCGCCCAUUAAAGCGGCACGCGAGCUGGGUUCAGACCGUCGUAAGACAGGUCGGUCUCCUAUCCACUGUGGUCGUGGAAACUUGAAGAGGCCCUUCCUUAGUACGAGAGGACCGGGAAGGACGAAGCUCUAGUGAACCUGCUGUUCUACCAAGGGCAUUGCAGGGUAGCUACCUUCGGUUAAGAUAAGCGCUGAAAGCAUCUAAGCGCGAAGCUGUCUCUGAGAUUAGGUUUCAUAGACUGGUUAGAGAAUAUAACCUUGAUAGGCCGUACGUGUAAGUCCAGUAAUGGAUUGAGCGGAGCGGUACUAAUAUGUCAUCAGAUUUUCCCAC